GGGGGUAUAGCUCAGUGGUAGAGCGUGUGCUUAGCAUGCACGAGACCCUGGGUUUGAUCCCCAGUACUUCCA